rnacentral:rRNA from 1 species
AGCACCAAUAGCGUAUAUUAAAGUUGCUGCAGUUAAAACGCUCGUAGUCGAAUUUUUGGGAGGCUGCAUUUGUUGCGCUGUUAGCGUCUACUGUUGCAGGCCCCACUCUUCUUGGAGCGGCGGAUUUUCCGUUGAGCCAAGACUUUUACUUUGAAUAAAUUAGAGUGUUCAACGCAGGCAAUUGCUUGAAUACAUUAGCAUGGAAUAAUAGAAUAGGACUUUGGUUUUAUUUUGUUGGUUUUUAGAACCAAAGUAAUGAUUAAUAGGGAUAGCUGGGGGUAUUAGUAUUUAGAAGCUAGAGGUGAAAUUCUUGGAUUUUCUAAAGACUCACUAUUGCGAAAGCAUCUACCAAGAAUGUUUUCAUUG